rnacentral:misc_RNA from 1 species
GAUGAAGAACGUAGCGAAAUGCGAUGAGUAAUGUGAAUUGCAGAAUUCAGUGAAUCAUCGAAUCUUUGAACGCACCUUGCGCCUUUUGGUAUUCCGAAAGGCACACCUGUUUGAGCGUCAUGAAUACCUCAAUCUCCAUCUUUUCUUCGGAUUGAUGGGUGACUUGGAUGUUGAGCCCUGCUGGUAUGCUAUAUCAGCUGGCUUUAAACUUAUUAGCCGGCUCUGUACUGGAUCGGUUUGACUCGACGUGAUAAUAUUAUCGUUGAGGAUGCAUGUCUCAUGCAGCCGGAAAGUAUCAAAGCAGCUUCUAGCUUGCCUUUAGUGCACUUUUACAUUUUAGACCUCAGAUCAGGUGGGACUACCCGCUGAACUUAAGCAUAUCAAUAAGCGGAGGA